UCAUGAUCAGACGGCCGGGUAUCUUUGAACUGCAUCGUGAUGGGGAUAGAUUAUUGCAAUUAUUAAUCUUCAACGAGGAAUGCCUAGUAAGCGCGAGUCAUCAGCUCGCGUUGAUUACGUCCCUGCCCUUUGUACACACCGCCCGUCGCUCCUACCGAUUGGGUGUGCUGGUGAAGCGUUCGGAUUGGCGUUAGUGGGCGGUUUUCCGCCUCCUCUCACUGAGAAGUUCGUUAAACCCUCCCACCUAGAGGAAGGAGAAGUCGUAACAAGGUUUCCGUAGGUGAACCUGCGGAAGGAUC
rnacentral:rRNA from 1 species